rnacentral:rRNA from 1 species
UUGGAGGGCAAGUCUGGUGCCAGCAGCCGCGGUAAUUCCAGCUCCAAUAGCGUAUAUUAAACUUGUUGCAGUUAAAAAGCUCGUAGUUGUAUUUUUGCGUUGACGGUUUGACCAUUUGGUUGGUUAUUUCGUUUUCGCUUUUGGGAAUUUCCCUUUUUACUUUGAGAAAAUUAGAGUGUUUCAAGCAGACUUUUGUCUUGAAUACUUCAGCAUGGAAUAAUAGAGUAGGACUUUGGUUCUAUUUUGUUGGUUAUUGAACCUUAGUAAUGGUUAAUAGGAACGGUUGGGGGCAUUCGUAUUUAACUGUCAGAGGUGAAAUUCUUAGAUUUGUUAAAGACGAACUACUGCGAAAGCAUUUGCCAAGGACGUUUCCAUUAAUCAAGAACGAAAGUUAGGGGAUCGAAGACGAUCAGAUACCGU